rnacentral:rRNA from 1 species
AACGCGAAGAACCUUACCAGGUCUUGACAUCCCCUGACAACCCUAGAGAUAGGGUGUUCCCCUUCGGGGGACAGGGUGACAGGUGGUGCAUGGUUGUCGUCAGCUCGUGUCGUGAGAUGUUGGGUUAAGUCCCGCAACGAGCGCAACCCUUGACCUUAGUUGCCAGCAUUCAGUUGGGCACUCUAAGGUGACUGCCGAUGACAAAUCGGAGGAAGGUGGGGAUGACGUCAAAUCAUCAUGCCCCUUAUGACCUGGGCUACACACGUGCUACAAUGGGCGGUACAAAGGGCUGCGAACCCGCGAGGGGGAGCGAAUCCCAAAAAGCCGCUCUCAGUUCGGAUUGCAGGCUGCAACUCGCCUGCAUGAAGCCGGAAUCGCUAGUAAUCGCGGAUCAGCAUGCCGCGGUGAAUACGUUCCCGGGCCUUGUACACACCGUAGUAC